UGGGGAAUUUUGGACAAUGGGCGAAAGCCUGAUCCAGCAAUGCCGCGUGUGUGAAGAAGGCCUUCGGGUUGUAAAGCACUUUUGUCCGGAAAGAAAUCCUUGGCUCUAAUACAGUCGGGGGAUGACGGUACCGGAAGAAUAAGCACCGGCUAACUACGUGCCAGCAGCCGCGGUAAUACGUAGGGUGCAAGCGUUAAUCGGAAUUACUGGGCGUAAGGCGUGCGCAGGCGGUUUGCUAAGACCGAUGUGAAAUCCCCGGGCUCAACCUGGGAACUGCAUUGGUGACUGGCAGGCUAGAGUAUGGCAGAGGGGGGUAGAAUUCCACGUGUAGCAGUGAAAUGCGUAGAGAUGUGGAGGAAUACCGAUGGCGAAGGCAGCCCCCUGGGCCAAUACUGACGCUCAUGCACGAAAGCGUGGGGGAGCAAACAGGAUUAGAUACCCCUGGUAGUCCACGCCCUAAACGAUGUCAACUAGUUGUUGGGGAUUCAUUUCCUUAGUAACGUAGCUAACGCGUGAAGUUGACCGCCUGGGGAGUACGGUCGCAAGAUUAAAACUCAAAUGAAUUGACGGGGUCAUAGCUG
rnacentral:rRNA from 1 species